AAAUUCUAUAUAUUCUUUAAAUAAAAACAUUUUCUUUUUAUUUAUAAUUAAACCAUGUCUUAUAAAUUCUGAAAAGAGGAUUUGUAAAUGACCUCUAUGUUCUCUUCUAUUUUUACUAAAUACUAAAAUAUCAUCUAUAUAAACUAUAAUAAAUUUAUUAUGUUUAUUAAAAAUACUUUCCAUUUUUCUCUGGAAUAUACUAGGGGCAUUUUUUAAACCAAAUGGCAUUACAAGCCAUUCAAAAUGUCCUUCUGGACUAGUAAAGGCUGUCCAUUCAAUUGAGUCUGGAUGCAUCUUAACUUGCCAAAAACCUGAUUUUAAAUCAAAUUUACUAAAAAUAUUACAAUCUUGAAUCUUAUUUAUUAAAACUGUUUUAUCUGAGAUAUUAUAAGCAUCAUCUAUUGUAUUAUCAUUUAAUCUUUUGUAAUUUAUUACCAUUCUACUUUUACCUCUAAUAAUUUCUGAAUGUUUCCUAACUAUAAAAGCUGCUGAUCUAUGAGGACUUUCUGAUUUUCUAAUAACUCCUAAUUUUAAUAAAUCAUUUAUAUGCAUUCUAAAAUCUUCCUGAUCUUGAUUUGUAGCUUCAAUAUUUUUAGUUUUAAUAAUAUAUUCUGGGUUCUUAAUUUUUAUUUCACAAAAUACUUUAUCCUUUUCCCAAUAUUUAAGAAUAUUUUCUCCUAAUAUUUC
rnacentral:lncRNA from 1 species